GUUAAUGAUGUCUGUAGACAUUCACUAUUUUUUUUUCCUGUUACGAUAUAAAAUACACACGUUCUCAUUAUUUCCUGGUUAUUUUUUUCAUAUAUGGGAGACCAACAAACCACAGACAGUUCUGAAACACUGAAUCUCAGUUAGAAUUCUUUUUUAUUCUGGUCGGAGUUUUUAAUUAAGGUUGAUUUUUAAAGAAAGUAUUAAAUCAGACCAUAGAAAAGGGAGCUAUAGAACAAGAAUACCUUAAUCUGAUUCAUGCACAUUCUGCAGCAAAUUCAAUUGUUUUUCUGGAUUACUGUACACUAGAAUUCUUUCCUCUCUUUGUUCUCCCUGUCUUUUCCCUCCCUGUCUUCUUCUCACAAACUAAAACUUCAGCCUUUUGCUUUUAAAGAUUCCCAACAUGGCAGCAUUUAGUGCUGUAAUUUGACAGCACAAAAACUCGGAGUAGGAGUUUCAGACUUGCUUUUGGGAUAACUGAGGUACUCUUUCUUUCCUUUUAUUAAUUUUUUUAUACUUUUGCUAGGCUUUUUGAUGAGAACAGAGGAAACUACAAGAAAAAUUUUUCUCAUGGAAGUGGGAAAUUUUUUAUACUGCUAUACAUGAGAGUAGGAAGGAGAGAAAAGUAUUUUAUUUGAAAAGUAGAGCAAAUGAAUGUAUUUAUAGAGCUUUUCAGAAUUCAUAUCCUUGCAAACGUUUUAUACAAUUCUUCUCAGACACUUAUUGCUAUACAACUAUGCUCAGGCAUUCCUAGGAGUAAAUAUUCCUAGUCAUUAUGAAAUUUGCUGUAUAAUACCCGUGAAUGACACUAUAUUGAAAGUAGAGUACAGAAAUUCUGACAUAAUUUUUGUGAUUAUUUUUAAUGCAUAUAUUUUUAAAAUCUUGUCAAAACAAGGAAGAACAAAUUUAUGAAAAUAUAUUCAUGUAGAUGAAUGUGCCUGCUCAUUGGCUGCUCUUCAACUUCUUGAUGUUAUGUUAGAGGUGAGGUGUCACAUUAGUUGGCUUCCAUUCCAUUCCAUAGCAAUGAGCUGCUCAUGUGCCUUCAGAGAUAUCAUCUCUCAUUUGGCUCAUCUGUAGAAGGCCUGUCAUGGUAGUAUAAGUGGGGAGAAUGUUUUCUAGAUUGUACUGGAAUCCUUCUAGGAAAAGUUGGGUAAAUAAAAGAUAAGUCUGUGAAAAUAUGUGCAUAAAAGGAAAAUAGUAUUUAGUUGUGAAGAAUGUCUUUCUAUUUUCAGUGUUAGUAUAUCUCUGUAUAUACCUCUAAGCUGCUGCUGACAGUGACUUGAAUUUGGGCUUUCUUUUACUUAACUUGAAAGAGAAAAUUAUCUCAUUAAAAUUGCUUUCCUUCUACAUCCCAGCUCUCAGAAAUUUUUGUUUGGAGAACUUCCAAGUCUGCAGCUCACAGUUUGAGCAGGAAGGAAUUCAUUUUAGGUGGACAAUAGAACGAAAUGAUUACAUGUGGUUAUGGGGUCAAUAAACAGUAAUCUUUGCUCACAAAUUAUCUGUCCAAGUAAUUGUGCUCUGUGUAAGCUUGUAUUGCUGCAGGUGUGUAUAAACGAAUUCCUGAAAAGCUGAGCAAAUACCACAGAAGAGCUCUAAGAGCUGUGAAAGUGUUGUUUGUUUGUUUGUUUUACAUUCAUUGUUUUCUUAUUUCUGGUCUACCCUUAAUUCUUAUGCAGGGGGGUCCCUAAAAAUAAAAUUACAUCGUGAUUUUGCUUUUCAAAAAGUAUUUUGAAAGGAUGAACCAUUUUAUUCCAGAAGCUUAUUUUCACUGUGGUCACAGUGUAAGCCCAGAAGGACCUUAUGAAAAUUAUGCACCCACCAAUACAGAUAUUCAGUUGGGCCUUUAUAGUUUGGAUACAUAUGUUAGGAGCUCACUAUCAAACUAACACUUUGUUCUUUGUUGGCGAGAUGAGACUUUGGAGUUUGCUUUAUACUUGUAAAAUGAAGCAUAUUGGAUGGCACACAUGCUGACUGCCAGCAUUUACAAAGUGUUUCUGAAAAUCAGUGCUUCCCGUACAUGACUUUCUAUGAAGGUGCUGUGUGAAAGAGAAACCUAUUAGGCUUUUCAGAACAUGUGUUUAAUUUGAAUGUAAUUUUUAGAGGAAUGCAAACAACAGCAACAGGAAUCUGAUUUUUGAUACAGUUCUGAUUGUAAGAAAUGAAAACCAUCUUCAACCUCAAUUAAGCAAAACUGCCUGUGAUAUAUUCAUUUCAAUGAUGUUUGGAAAAAAAGUAAUUAAAACCAGAUCAGAACAUCAGGGUUACUCUAGCAUUCCUGUACAAAUUGCAAUGAGAUCAUUAAUUUCCAGAUAGAUAGAGAUUUGAGGCAGCAGUAGGAUAUUUUGUUAAAUGUCUGGUCUGAAACAGAAGGUUUGAGUUUUCUUUCACUUGCACCAGUAGAGAUUAGAAAUAAGUUACAUUGUGUGAAAGGAAUAAUGCCACUGAAACUUCAAAGAGAGAAAAGCUCAGCCUUUCUUACAGAUGAGCACUUCAUCUGAAGAAGUAAAUGUUUGUGGUGUUGAAUUUAAGCCGAUAAACACGGGCAAAACCACAAUUCUGUGAAUACCAUAAUUGUUCAACCUAAUCUCAGUAGUGCAUGUGAAAGAAUACAUUCUAAAUGUGGUUUAUAAUAAUACCAUAAAUUUAGACAUCAUAAUUACGAACACUAAAUACUACAUAUGUAAACCUUUUUCUAGAAUGGAAUGGAACAUUUUCAAACUGACAGGAUGUCUGAGCUCCAAAAAUGCCUUUAUGCCUAGAUUCAUCAUUGGCUGGCUAUCUAAAGUACAUGUUAUUAACUGCUUUCUAAAUAUGAUCAGAGCUGAUUUCAACUCUUUAAGAGUCGUCUCAAAAGCUGUGUAUUGUGUAGAAUAUGGCAUUGCCAUCUUAGAGCACUGUGACCACAGCUCUCCCUGGAUAUCAGUUAGGUUCUUGCUGUGUCGUAACAAAAGCAAAGCUUUCUAUUCUCCCUUCCCUCUUUUUUAUUUCAUUAUUUCAUUAUUUCAUUAUUUAUUUUCAUUUUGAGGAGAUAUAUUAUCUGGCUUAUGGUAGCAACUAAAAUGAGAAACCCUACUGGUACUUAACUUCUUCCAGUUUGACAGCUUAGUGGAAGAUAGCAGCAAAUUUUCUUCAAACCACUACUUAAUUAUGAAAAGAAGAGCCUAAAGGUUUUGCAGAAUUAUCUUCCAAGUCUGUGUUGUGAUUUUGCUCAAAAUGUAUUGCUUAGCAUUGCUCAACAGGUUGAUAACAUUGCCUUUUCUGUUUUCUGGAGAUAUUUGUUCCUUAGUUAAAAAAGUAUGUUCUGUUGGUGUGCAAUAUUUGCCACUUCUGCAGACACAGAAGAUAUGAGAGAGGUUCUCACUUCUGAACUGUGAUGUAUUUCAGGAAUGCUGGCUACGAAUACAGAAUAUGUUUACCUUAGAGCUGGAGGUUUUCUGCAGAUUAUGUCAAUAAAAUGAUCUUUAACAGCCACACAUUCUAGUACCUGGGUCUGCUGUAUACCCAUCCUAUUUCUCACACACUAGAAUGUUUCAAAUAUCAGGGUUCUUUAUUGAAAUUUCAGUCAUCGUAUUCAAACAGUGCACUUCAAUGAUUUUGCAUUACUGAAGUGUUUUGUAAACACUAAUUGAUCUAUUACCCAGCUUUCCUCAGUGCCUAUAUCUAACAAGAGGCUCAGACAAAAAAAAAUUGUAAUUUUACACAGCCACUGAACACUGAUUAAUCAAUUUAUGUUACUAAGAACAGAGCUCACCAUUUCCAUAUAAACAACUGGAGAAUUAUGUCUUUUUCACUCUUCCUUUUUCCACAAAUGAUUGAAUUUGAAAAAUGGAAACACCGAAAUCUGGCGCUGGCUUGGGAACUUUCUCAUGCCAUAUAAAACAGUUCAAACUUAACAUAAAGAGUUUGACUUUCCUUUAGUUGAAUACAAAAACAUUUCAGACUGACCAUUGCAGAACUUUUUCAGAAAGAAAUCUACUAUUUUUUUUAACCUUGCUGAUUUUUUUUCAUAUCACUUUUUGGAGUUUUUCUUUCUUUCUUUCUUCCUUUUUUUUUUUUUUUCUGCCAAGAUUUUUUCAGCUUGAACUGUUUUAUUUACUGUUUACUGACUUUCUUUAGAUGCUUAGCAGAAGAUCUUGCAGAUAGGGACCUUCCUAAGUUAAUGGAACCCUAUUCCUCUUCUUUUUUGCUGUCUUCUAACAGGUCAAACCUACUUAGAAAUGUUACAGUAGGUCUAAAAACUCAGGAAGAGAACAGGAAUAUUUUCCAAUUUCAAGAACUCAAAACAAAAUCAUGGAGUAACAAAGGUGAGCUCUAAAAAUAAUAUUUUUGUCCUACUCUACUGAUUUGUUGCCCAAAUCCCUAAAAAAUAAUUACUGAAAUUGCUAAGUUAAUAAAGAAAAUCUUAUAGAAAAUUCUUUCCACAAUAUUGCUUCUUAAUCUAUUUUAUCAUCUUUAAAAGUAAAACAUAUAUUUCUUUUAGGAAGAAAAAAACAGUUAAUAUUAUCUUUUUUCCCCUCUGAAAGCCAAGUAACAAACCAAAAAAUACUAUAGGACUUUUUUUUCAACUAAAGAUUUUAAUCAGGCCUGUAUAAUGUGGAACAGAAAAAAAAUUGCAGACCACAUGUAGAGAAAAGAAUUAAGGUUCCAUUUUACAUUUAAAAAUUUUUGUAUGAAUACUGUUAAAAUGUUAAUGGUUAAAGUUAUCUCUGAUAUCAAUUUAUUUGGGGUUAUAACUUGAAAUAGCUCUGAUAAAAGGAAUACAUUUGUGCCUACCUACAGUUUUGUACGUGUGUAUCUUUAAUGUCUCUCAAUUUGUUCACAGUAUGAGCGUAUCAUGGUGCAUAUUCAUGCACCAUUAGUGCCAUUCAUGGGCACUAAGGUACAGAUAUCUCCUCCUUUAUGUGGUUGGGAUACAGUCAAAGUGCAAGUCCCGGCCUAAGAGCACGGGGAAGUUCUCUAGUAUGGGCAAAAUGGCCAUAUUUAGGUGCUUUCUGGUGGUUAUCCAGAAUAAAUUUAUCUGCUUGGUCAAUGGCAAACUUAGCUGGAACACUAAAUCAGCAUUUGACUUAGACAACUGUUUAAAUAUUAUUUCAGUGAGCCUGGUACCCUGAAGUAUUGGUCAGAAAGAAAACUGGUCUUUAUGCAUAAACUUGAAGCAGAUUGUGUUACUUCGGAGUUCAGCAUCACAGAACAAAACAAAAACAAAAAACCAACAGCAAAAAAAAAAAAAAAAAAAAAAAAAUCCACCAAAAAGCUGCACUGGGCCACUAUGCCUCUCUCUUCAAGACUUCUGAGCUAUUGGCAGUCUGAUUUUGUUUAUGAAAGGAAAAAUGAAAUCUCUUGAUGUGGUUUCUCUUUUUCUUCUGAAGUACAGAAUUGGGUAAGGGAAAAGAUUGAAAAUUUUCCAGUAAGAUAGGGUGGCCUGAUUAACUAUUCCUUCAAGUAUAGGACAAGAAAGCAGUCACUGUGCCAGAGAACCAUGGCGCUGAAAUACAUAUUAUUUUUCAAGUGUUAUCUUAGGAUUCUUGGCUGAAAAUUCUGUAUAAUUCCACGUGUGCAGAGUCAGUAGGCAGGGAGCAACAUGUCUCCACUCAGGACAAGAGGAAGUGAAUUGUGACUCACUUUCCAAGCAUUGGUAUGAAAUUAGUGGGCCAACAACUGGGGUGACAGCUGCAGCUUUUCGUCUUAAAGGCCCAGAAGAGCGUGCAGUUUCCACAAUGGAUGGUAUAUUGUUGGCAUUUUUCUUCCCCAUUGUGAUUACUUGCAUCCAUGUUCUGUGAUGCUUAGAGAGUAUUUGAUAAUGCAUAGCCACAAAACAGGUGUUUUGAGGAAGAUGGAAAAAUAGAAAGAUCAGUAUCUUACCAGACAUUACAUGGGUUUGAUAUUGCUGGUACUUAAAAUUACUUGGCAAGCAAAGCAGAUCGAGCCACAGUUACACCUAAUCUCCUGUCCUCUGUCCAAAUGGUGACAUACCAAAGAGCAAACAGCCCUUCUGAUAGACUGCUCGCUUCAUGGUGUUGUAAGCUCUUAGGUCUGUAGGAAACACUGAACUUCAAUAGAGUAGGGAAUCCUGUUUUUAAUAUUUUGCUGCCUUUCAAAGAAGGAGAAAAGAAGAACAAAUUUCAGCUUCUUGUGUGUGUGUGUUAAACAAAUAGUUCCAAUAUAUUUGAUUUCAAUUCUUCUGAUUUUUUUUUCACUUUGCCAUUUUUUUUGUUUGUACAUUUGUAAUCUUUUGAAGGGAAGAAGCGAAAAUGAUGUCUUGUCCUGUAAAAGCAGAUGUUUUACUUUUGUCUUUUCAAAUGUGAGCAAAAUUGAUGCAGUCUACAGUAUAAUUUUAUAUGCUGGCAGCAUAACUGUUCAGUCUUACUGGUUCAAUACCCACCAAGCAGAGGACUUCCCUACCUCCACAGAACUGAAGGGGAAAGAAAAAAAACCCUGUGCUGUGUUCUGGUGGUAGCCAAAGUAGGAGAGCCAUGCAGACUCCUCCAGUUGAGCUGUCUGACAAGAAAAGACUGGGCAAAGCAGAGGUAGACUGGAGGCUGUGGGGUCCAGAUAGAGGAGCAGCUCCCAGUAGCAGUGCAAAGGGCUGAAACUAUUUGAUGGUGCUAAUAGGAGUGACUUUAGAGACUCAAGAAUGUCUUAAUUUUUAAUCAAAUGCUCAGAUACCUCCUAAUGUAAACUGCAUGUAAAGAUCUUUAUUAUUUGAAGCGUGCAAACCCUUUGGGAGCCACGCCAAUGGCAGUAUGGGUUUUGGCAGCAGUCUGCUGAGACUGCAACAAGCCCAACACAUUGAUAGUCCUCAAAGGAGUCCUGCAGUGCUUGCAGAGACAGCCUACAGCAGAGCUGGUGAGGAAGAGAAUGGAAGGAAUCAGUGAAGACUGCCAGCCGCUUUAAGAAAUUACUAUUGAGUUGUUGUAGUCAGGUUGUUUAUAAUUUUUUCAUAGGUGACUUAUGUUAACAUUAUCUGACAUUAGGUGUAUAUUUUAGAAAUUAUUCCUUCUGUGAAAAAGAAAAAAAAAAAAAAAAACAUCCCCCAAAGCAUCUAGUUUUAAGCCCUUAUAUUUUAAAGAAAAACUUUGAAGAAUGUGACAUGGCUGUAACUGAUACAGAAGUGCUCAGUUAGUCACCUGGUGUGGUUCUUUGUACUAAUUCCAGUGGAUGUUCUUUUAUUUUUUUUAGCUUUGACCUAAUAUUCCAAUAGUUUUGUUAACAUUCUUAGGCAUUUUUAACAAUAUUCCCAAAUAUGGUUAUUUGGCAAAUUCAUUUUCAUCAUAGCAAUAUUAAAAACUCUGUGUCCAGGUAAUUUCUCAAACUUUCUUUACUCUAUCAGUCACUCAGUGAUAGCCAGCAGUUCUGAGAAUCAGGGUUCAUCCUGUAAACCAAGUUUUAAUUAAAACUUCCAACACUUGGAGGCAAUGUAUCUUAGGAAAUAUCUGGGACUCAAACAUUUGGGACUCAAACAUUUGGAUGUUUGAUUUGGAUUUUGUUUUCAAAUAAAAGAAUUCAUUCAUUUGGGAUUAAUUUUCAAGUCUUCAUAUUUCCUUUGAUAACAACGGCCCAGUAACAACCUGUAAUGGUGGCUUUAGUUAUUGAUGUACAAACCUAACAUCAUAGCAUUGAUAACAAUAUUGCAGAAGUACUUAGGAUUUUUUGGCAAUACAUUAUUUUCUGAAAGUUCUGGAUAUCCUGACUUAGUUGUUUAGCUGAUGAGGGCAUAGGAUUCUGAGGUUUUAGCUGGAUUGCCAGUUUUCACAUCCAGUAUCUGCUUAAAAAAGCCACUUCUGUUCCUCACAAAAUGUCAUACUGAAAUGUCAGUAUUUAGCUCCAUUUGAAACAUACAAUUUAAAGUAUUUCUGAAGACCAGCAGGCAAAGAGGCAAUGGGUAGGGAAUUUUGUGCCUGUCCCUCUCACUGGCACAUCCUGUCAGUCUUGUUUGUAUCCAUUUAUCUCCACAACGAUUGUUGUUUGCAGCAACACAAAGGCAAAGUAAAGAUAAUUGCAAAGCUUCACAUGCUUUUUCAUGCUGUGGGGAUCUAACCAGGGACAUCUCCACCAUUCAUGUUGACACACCAAGGGCUGCAGGCUGUACAACUGUUGGCCAGGAAGGGCCUGACACACAGCUGCCUGACAGGGAGCAGCUGAGGCCCAAAGGUGGUAGCUAGGCUUGUUCUCCUGCAGUAACCCCUCAUUCUGCUACAUUCUGUCUCCUACCCUUGCACUGGCUGUAGAAGGGUGUGGGUAACUGUGCACAAAAUCACUGUGCUCUGAUCUGGGGAGCCUUAGACCAUACAGCUCUCUGAGCUGGCCGUGUCCCAGUGACACACCUCACCCUGCCAGCUGCAUGGGCCUGCUGCAACACAUCAAACCCACCCCACUGUGCUGCAGAAGCAGCUUUGUCUCUCACAGGCUGAAUGAGCAGGAUGGUGAAGCAGGGUAUAUUUCCGCCACCCUUACUUGAAGCCAAGGCAGAGUUUUUCUUCCAAAUACACAUUAGUUGCCUAAGUUUUCUGGCUUUGCAUAGCUGGGGGUUUUAAUCUUUUCAGUCUUUUAACUGUUAGUCUGUGGGAUGUAGGAUUAGGCAGUGUUGGUCAUGUAUAAACUAAGCAUUACUUGGGGGAGGGAACUACAUCCAGUCUUUGUUUUUUUCAUUGUCUUGAGCAAAGUUAAAAAGUAUAUCUUCUUACAAUUACUUUACAGGAUUCCACUUAACGUAGAAUGGAUGAUGUAACACUAGUGCUUAUCUUCUUAAUUAAAGGAGAAUUGUUCUUAAGUGAUACAGAUAAGGAUAAUCAUUCCAUGUCAUCAUUAUAUAAAAAGUGCAGACAACACAGCAUCCUUAAUGCAGAAAAAAAUAUAGAGAGGAAAGGAGAAAGGAAAGAGGGAAGAGGAAAGGAAAGGGAAAGCUUUAAAAGAGAUUAACUAUUUAAUAUGGGCAUAGAUUUAAUCUUUUUUAAAACCAUUUGGCUAUCUUGCCUGUCUGUUGAUUAGACAGAGGAAAAUUUCCUGGCUUUAUUUUCUUAACUUAUUCACUUAGAUGAAUAAGUUGAAAAAGUACUGUGGCUGCUUGCUCCCUAGAUCUGUGUUCAAUAAUACCAAAAUUGGCUUACGUUUGGCUGAGGGAAAAUAUUUUCUCAACAAAUGAGAGGGCAGUCACUCUGUCCAAUACCAGGAGUCAGCCAUCUGGAUUUAGCAUCAGGUGCCCAAAGAAAGAACAGAAAAGCUCUUUGUCCUACAUAAAUCUCCAGAGAAGGUUUUGAUCCAGAUCCUCAGUCGGAUGCUGCUUUGGAUAACACUGAAAGCUUACUUUCACUUGUUUAUUAGUGUUGUCUGCUUCUGGAUUUGCAAUGAUUCUGCCAUUCUGCUCCUAUGGUCAGGGUGUUUGUUUUCCCUUCAUUUGUCAAACCAGUAAUGCCAGAGGAAAUGCUAGCCUUCAGUGACUACAGAUGUCUUUAUAUCUUCACUGUCCAACUGUACAGCAGUUCAAGGAACAAAGAACCCUCUUCUCAGUCUCACUUCUUUGCCAGAGUCUUUCUAUGUUUUUCUGGGAGGUACUGGCAUGAUAUUCAGUAAGAAGCUGUCAGAUGAGACAAGCUUUCACUUAACACAGAUCCUACCGAUUCAUUCAGAAGGGAGGAUUUCUUUUAUGUCAGGUAGAAGUGCUACUUUCAGACCAAAAGAGUCUCAAUUUAAAUAGCAGCAGCAACUACUGUCCAGGGAGUGUAUACUGGGAGAUUAAAUAACGGAUGAGGAGAGUCCACGAAAUCAAUAAGUCUGCUGUAGCGUCUGGCCAUCACUUGACAGACGCUGCUGGACCACUUGGUAUAAUGAAGUUCAAGCGUUAUAACAGAUUCCUUACUGGGACCACAAUACAACGUGGUGGUUUUUUUGUGUGGGGGGGUUUUUUUUUUUGUUUUUUUUUUUUUAAUGCCAUGUUGUUGGAAAUACCAUAUGAUGUGCAGAGAUGUGCCUAAAGUCUAAUUGCUGGCCAUUUCCAAGUAUGCUCUAGUGAAAUAGCCAGUAUAACUAAGGAAUGCAUAUAGUGCCAGUUCCAAUGCUGCAGGUAUGCAGUACAAUUCCUCAAGAGACUGUGAAUACAUUAAAAAAUACAUAUUUUAUUUCCUUGGAAUAUUUAUUGAUGACAUUCUUGCUAUUGCAAUUGCAAGAUGAUCUAGAAAUUUAAUGGAUUUUGCAUUGAUUUAAUGUGCCUAUGUUGCUCUGAAAGUAAUGCUUCCUAUUUUUUCCAUGGAAACUACAACAAAGAGCACAAUAACAUUGUUUGACUGAGCAAAUUCUCAGCUACAAAAUACUGUUUUUCAACAUAGUCACCACCAUUAACUGUGUAUUUUCACCACCGAAGAUCAAGAGCCAGCAUGCCAUGCUCAUAAAAAUCUGCAUCAGUGGAGGUGACCCACUGUUUCACAGGUGCUAUGACAGCAUGAUUACCAGGUAGAAAUCAGAAGGCAUCAAAUCCAGACUGUGCAAUGGGUGUGGUGGGACAGUCCAGCCAAGAUGGGCAAGGUCUUCCAUGGUCUUCAAACUGAUAUGGAGCCUGGUGUUAUAAUAUUGCAGGAGAAAGGCUUUCUUCUUCUCUGGCCUGACUCUGGAAGUUUGAGCCAUCGGCUGACUAAGUUGUGAUGAGUGGUCAGAGUUAAUGGUUUCACUUUCACAGGAACCUGUCACCUUCAGCCUCAUAUUUGUUCAGUAGAUUCCGGCAAACUUGCAAACUUCUUUCUGUUCCUAUGUGAGCAUUUGUGGAACCUGGUACAAACUUUGUGAUAUUCCAAUGUUGCCAUUGUUGUUUCUAAUGCACUGAAGCUGAUAUUCAACUUCAUACGUAGUUCUCUGGUUGUAAUCUGCCAGUUCUCAUGGAUGAGCUCACCAAGACUUUCAUUUUGUGGUGUUACUGCAGUGCAUGGCUGUCCAGAAUGUGGUUUGUCUUUCACAUCACUGUUGCCACUGCUGAAAUGCACUACCCACCACCUCACUGUGCUCACAUUUGCUCUUUGGUCUCCACAAAGGUUCACCAAACAUUGAAGAAUGUCAGUGGGUGCUGUUUUUUCCACACAGAGGAAUUCAGUGACACACCUUUGCUUCAUAUGCACUUCUAUGUCAGAUGCCGUUCUGUCAGACUGCCCCUCUGCUGCCAUCUGUCACGCAGCAACAAAAUGCAAUGGAAUAUUGGUGGGAAGAUUCAACCUCUAUUGCCAUACCACCGACAUCCACCUCUGAUGUUGUGGUUCAACAUAAUAAAACAGGUGACAUUACUUUCAGAGCAACCUUUACAUAAUCAGCCACAGAACACAAAAGCUUGUGAAUAUGCUUCCUUGUGGUAAAAAUAGAAAAUCUUUUCUUAGAAUAGUCACAACCAUAAAUUUGGUCAUUUGAAUGCUCACAAAUAGCCUGAAAUCUGUCUGUUUGUCUAACUACACAAGAAGAUGCAUCACUUCCAAGAACACAUGGAACUACUUGCUGUGUGCAUGUAUGAUAAUUAUUUUCAUGUUAUAUAGUCUGUCUAACAACAGUUUGCACAGUGCCUAUGCAUAUGCCUCUCUUAAAUGACUACAUUAACUCAAUCAAUCCAAAGAUGAAAAAUCUGUUUCCUGAACUAUUCAGAUUGUUUAACCAUUCAUUUUCUUCCUUUUGAUGUGUAGCUGCAUUUCAGUGUUUAUAAGCAUAAUUCAGUGCUGUCACAAUUGAGUUUUCUGUAACUUUUUACUCAGUAGUGCAGUAAAAAGCAUACAGCUUAUGAGAUAACAGUGUUAUGUAAAUAGGUCAUAGAAUGGAAACUGUUCCCUGUUUAGAAGUGUAGUGCCACUGAAGCAGGUAAAAAUGGUUUUCAUCCAAUCUUUGUACUGAAAAUUUAUUUUAUCUCAUUUGACUGAGAUUUCUUUGCUACUCUGCUUCCAUUUAUGAAUAGUCCACUUUUUGCUGUUGAAUAACAGAAUUGCAUUAAUUCGUUAAUCAAAUUCUGUACAUGUAAAACAUUGUUUGAUCUCUAAUCUAAUGUUCUGUUUCAAGGAGUGCCCAAUAGCAGGUAAUCAGUGUAAGAUUAAAAAUAAAAAGGUUCUGUAAUAGAUUGUUUCACGUGACAAUUUCUCAGGAAGAUCAAACAUGCCAGAUGUUAAACAAAUAUCCAUUGAACUGUUUUCCUUUUGAGAACACUUAAAAGAUUAAACUGCAGAAUGUUUUACAUUUCCUGUAAUGUCAUUUGCGAUGUGUAAACUAAUGCUAGAAUCUCAAUUUGAGAUGAAUACCCAGAAGCAAAACUUUAUUGCAGUGUGUUUCAGGUCAUUGAAGGAUGAAAGAGUUAGGAAGACAUGCCUCUAGAAAUACUGUUCAAUACAAGGCAGGCCCUAUCUUGCAGGCUGUUUCCCUCAACCUGACUUGGAAGCAGUUGAGGCAAGUGAAAUAGCAGAGGAGGCAUAUGUUUGUUUCUUAAAAUUACUGCUGUGUGUAGCACUACUCUGUCCUUACCGACUUUUUCCUUUCUGUAGAUCACUUAAAUUUUAUGUAAGGAAGGGGUCUCCACCAUGAACUUUGAGUUGUGAAAAAUACAUAGCAAGACAACACAUUACGUGUUAAUUUUGAAUACACCUAGCGUAAAUAAUUGCACUUUCCUUCUCCACAUAAUGUAAUUCCUCUGUGUUCAUGUUGGAAAACUAGACAGCCACCACAGAUGUAGUGAUGCUCUGUAAUUACUGAGAAAUGUGGAUUUUCCCAGGUACUCAUUUCCCUGAAUUCUAUCACCGUAUGCCUCAUUUGGAGGCUGACUGUAUGGUUGCUUCACAAUAACUGCUAUUCAAAGACAUAAGCAAAGAAAUACACACUUAGCUUGUCAGAAGGCAUUGAAUUUCAUUGUUUUGAUAUGUUUAUUUUAGAAAAGUUGCAGCAUUAAUUGUAUUCAUUUCCUAUUAGUUUCUGGCUUUGACUCACUUCUGUGCUCAGAAUGAUUAAGAAACUUCUGGGAAGAUGUUAACACAUUCUCCUCUUCCCACAUCCCCCAAUUCAAAAUAUACAUAUAUAAGCUAAAAAAAUGCUUCAAAGCCACAAAAAAGGGAAUUUCAGGCUGCUAAAAUUUUUAAAAUAUUACCAAAAAAUACCCAUAGUGUAUCAAAAUAGUUAGGAACUGUUUGUUCAUGAGAACUAAGAGGGUCUCUUUUUUAAAUCCCUCUCACGUUGCCCAGAUGUGGUAGAGCAGGAAGAUGUAUAUUUUAAAAGGAGAAGGGACAGCUAAUCUGAAGGAGCUUAAGAGAUGCAUUGGAAGCAGAGGCUGGUGACGUUUUAGCAGGCAGUGAUGCCUGUGUGGUAGCUAGCCAAGAAGUCUGGUCCUAUGAAUUAUUGAAUGGAAUUUGGGAAUGAACUGAGAUGACACCUGGAACCUAAAGUUGACUAAGCAAGAUACUGAGACAAUGCCAAGAAAGUGGCAGAUAAAGAGCAAAGCAAAUGAAGGUUAGAACUGAGUUGCAGGGAAGAAAUGUCAUUGAUGGGACUGACAAGCCAGGCAUAUAUUGGUUAUAUGUAAUUUGUUAUAUUGUGUUGAGGGAUAUGGUUUAGUGAGAACCAUUGGUGAAGGGCAAAUGGUUGGACUGGAUGAUCCUGUGGGUCUUUUCCAACCUUAGCGAUUCUAUGAUUCUAUAAAUUUCUACUUAUUUUUCAAUCCAGAGAUAGGCUGUUCUUCUCUCCUAAGUAAUUAAUAUAUGUUUGAAGCUGAGAAAAGACUAUAAAGUAUGUGAAUUUUGAGUGAGUAUUCUAGUCAUCAUUUCAGGGAACAGGAGCACUACCCUGUAGAACUGGCAUCUAUGCAGAGCUGGAUAAACUAAGCGAUGGAAUAUGGUUCUGGCCUUUGAAUUCUCAUCUCAGGGAGCUGUCUCAUCCAGAAAGGAAAGAAUCAGACAGACUCCUUUCUUCAGCUUUUCCUAACAAAUUAUUUCCAUUCUGCAUGUUUGGUGGUGUGACACCUGCUCCAAGCUUCCUGUGGCUCCCAUUUGUACAGAAAAUGGUGGCAAAAUGGGGGGCGUAGGAAAGAUUUGGGCCUGACAUAGGCAUUUCAGUGUCAGCAGCAACAUCUCACAUGAGCCUUAGUACUUGGGUGCAAGUUUUACCUGGCAAUUCUUUGGCAGAAUUAGAGACAGAAUCCAUUUGUCCUGGGAAGCAUGUAACUCAGCUAUUGGACUGUCUUUGCUGUCCUCAACCUUUCUGGCUCUUCCCCUGUGCAUCUUUUUCUUGACAAAUAAUGACUCAUGGGGCUUUUCAUAAGACUCUUUUGCCUUUGAAUUCCUUCCACCCAAGAAAAGGAAACAGGACUAUUCUACAGCUAAAAGAUGUGGGAAGAAAAAAUUGUGUUAACUUGUAAGUGAAAUGUUAAUGUAUAGGGCCAUUUAUUACUUUUUAAAAAAAUAGCUUUGUCAUAUGAAUAAUUUUAACCUAUUUUACGCAUGUGAUGUAUAAAGCUUCUUAAUACUUACAUUAUUUUUACACAUUUACAACCUUUUCAACCUAUUCACCUGGAAAAUCUAUGGCAAACAAGUGUAUAGUACACAUGCCCUAUGAGAAUUUCUUCUGAACUAAAUUUCAUUUGGAUAUAAGAAAUUAAUUCUAUAAUAAAAUGACCUGAGAAAAUCAAGUCGUACAGACCAUAGCUCUGACUUUUUUUCUUGGGUCCUCAAAAUCAACUGGUGUAGUAUCUUCAUUAUGUUAUUUCAUUUGAAAAGCACUGAAAAUGCUGUGACAGGCAGAAGGUGAUAGGAUUUUUAGGAAUAUUUUUCCUGACGUUACUUGUAAAUUUUAAUGUCGGUGGGAUCUUAGCAGAAGUAGUUUAGAAGUAGUUGUAGUUUGGCCAGAUUGCAUGCUGCUUGGUCACAAUUUUAUGUUGUUGGAAUGUGUUUUGCCUGUGUAGAAGCGGAUAAUCAGCCUUGCUAACCAUAUGCCUAAAAAAUGUUAUCUAAUAACAGUACAUCCUUGGUUGUACUAAUGGGAUUAAAACUAUCUUGCAUACUUUUCAAGAGGCCUUUAUCCUGUGGAGACAUACACACUAAGGAGGGACAACCCUGCUAGCAGUUGUUAAAUUCACAUACCAUUUGCAACCUUUUCUAAUCAUACUCUUCCUAGGAAGCCCACCACAUUUGCCACAGUUUCCUUGGAAUGAGACCAAGUGUGCUUUAAAUUGAUACAAGCUUAUUUGAGAAAGUCUGUCAAAGCUGUCACCAGAAACCAAAAAUAGUUUCUUCAGACAGAAGGCUUGUUCCUUUCAUGAUUUUUUGCUAAGCAGAUGUGGCUUCAACCACUGUUUGAAUUUGUGUCUCACUUUCAGAGGUCAAGAAUGUUUCAAAACAGUUUUGACAUAAACUCCUCUCUGGUUUUUUCUCGUGGUUACCUUUCAAAAGACAGCCAACCUCUGUUGGUAUUUAAAUGGAAUUAAUCAGAAGAAAGAGGGACCUACGGGCCUUUCUAAAUCUCACCCAUUCCUCUGCUGUGAGAGCAGAGCUGUUGCAGCUGGAUUCCUGCAACUCCGGUGGCAAAGCACCCACCUGGAGUCUGUUCUCAGCUCAGCCACCAGAUCUGGCAGCUGGUCUCACAGCUCUAGACUUCUGUCUUUGCACCUGCAACAAGGCAGUAAAAAUCCUGACUUAAUGCAUAUUCUUAUUUCUAAUAUUGUUAUUUGUUAGUGUACGUAUGGCAGGUUAUUGAUGGCUUAAAGGAGCAUCAGCUGUUGUGACUGAGGUCUUUGGGGUGUUUUGCCAAACUACUGUAACAGCAUUGCGCAUAAAGCAACAAGAUUUUGCAUUUUUUUUGUGUCCUUAUAUGGACAGAUAGGUUGAUGACUUUCUAAUUCAUCAGUCUUGUUCUGUAAGGACAGCCACUGAACUUUUCUUUUUCAAGGAAGGUGGUGAGCAAAAGACAAUAAAAAACCACUAGCUGAUUUUCUUUUAGAUUGUGUUCCAUGCACGAUAGAGUUCAUGCUAUAUCUAAGCAUAGUUGUGUCUGUUUAUAAAUGAAAAUCUCUCAGAAACAUGAGAAAUGAAUUGAAACAUGAGAAAUUGAUUUUGUAAAAAUUAUCAGUCGUGAUUUUGCUUCUGCCCUGUACUGUAACUACUAUAACCUUAAUCCAUAAAUCCAGUCUUCUUUGGGAAAGUCUUAGCUGGUGUUAAUCACGAAAAUUAGAAAACUUGAAGUAUAAAAAGAUAAUGGAUUGCACCUACAAAUGUAUUCUUCAGUUCUAUAUGCAAACAAGCAGCUGCUCACAGAAAACUCUGUGUGAACACUGCAGUUUUAAUUUGUCAUCUUUGUUUUUCAGUGGCAUACCUUUAAUAUCACUUACAUUUCUGUGAAAAAUAUUUUUAUUACUUACCAGAAUUGUUUGCACUAUAAUGGAUUAUCUUUUUCCAUUUAAAAACACUAAAACAUUCUGUCUAUUAUCUCAUUUGUAGUACAACUUGGAAAAUGCAGGAAGGAUAUUGCAGUAUUCUCACGUGUGUCCGUUAUUCAUUUUCCUGCAGAGUAUUGGAAAUCUGUGUCAAAAUCCAUCUCUUUGGCUGACCUUUGGGAAGGCUCCGUUGAUGUGUUCUGACUUUGUAGCCUUGAAGAUAAUGCAACGUGGCCCCAGUGACCCCUUUGUUUUAGAAGAAAGCGAAGUUGGAUAGAGUGAUAAACAAUUGGAACUGUUUAGUUGGCAGCCAUCCUGGCAAAGAAGCCUGUCAGUGCCUAUGUAUAAUUUCCAUGGAAAUAAAUAAGAGGCAUUGCUUUCAGAGUGACACACUGAAACAGCUCUCCAUUGCUACCAGUAGAGAGGAACUUAUGCCCUAUGUUGCAGAAAGCACUCGGUAACACCAGGAUUCAACUGUUCCUCCUGCAGAACGGGAGGUUUCUGUCACUCACGGCCUGCUGUCCUUCUGUGUCAGAGGAAACCCAGUGUAAUGAGACAUGCUGCUAAGAAGGUUCUGGAGGAGGCUAGAGCACUCUUACUUGCAAUACCUGAGGAAUGUGCUUUUGUAGAACACUCAAAACGUACUUAUGAUUCUUCGGGCACAUAAGGCUGGACAGUCCAUUCACAGAUGGCCUUGAAGUCUUCAGCUUCUCUUGGUAAAGUAAUCUAUCCAUUCACAAAUAUCAACAUUUGUUCAAGGUACAGACUUAUUUUUUUUCAUUAUCUGUCAAAUCAUAUUCACAUUCUGAAAUACACUGUGAAUUGCUCUCAGAAGCAUUUCUUAUCAUUCUAAUGUGGCAUUCCUCAUGACUAAGAAAUGGUUAUUCAUCAUGACUCAUUAGACUCAAACAUAUUAAAUUUGUUUCAGAAAUAGAUAUUCACUAUGUGGGAAGUAAAAGGCAACACUAGUUUAUAUGUAAAUAGUGGGCAGUAAAAAUAGGUAGGAAAGAGCAGAUCAUAUUUAAAAAGAUUAAAUGUUACAGAAAACACAUGAUCAUCUACCCCUGUAACUAAGUAACAUCUAUUGGAAAGGGACACAAGCUUCUUCAGUAAAGAAACGCACAGAACCGUGGCGGUGUGCCUUUAACCGAUAGCUUCCUGCUGAAUAAGUGCUGAGGGCAUUCCUGAAAUUCCCAGAAGAAGGCUGCUGGCGGGAGCACGCUGUCGUGGCUCUGUUUUGUCCCAGUUCUGUGCUGACGGCUGUGCUGCAUCCACGCAGACACCGGCUGUCCUUUGCAGCCAUAUAUGGACAACACCCGGAUUGAACUCGGCCCUCUUCUGUCCCCGGAACUCUCUGAGGUCUCAUGUUACGGAUUUCUAGUGAUGUAAUUAUAUGCAUCCAGUGACCAAAUUUGGUAGCUACCUCCUGGAGGCAUGGUUGGAGGUUCUUUUUUUUAAAUUAUAAAUCUCACCUCAAUUAGAUAAUUUCUUCCUUAAUUUAUUUUUAAAAUGUCAGCAUUUUUUUUAAGCUUUUGCCAGAAAUCUUAUAGAUUGGCAAUCUGCUUUAUUUUUCUCAGCAAACAAAGUUCUCUGUGACUAAAGUUCAUGUUGUAGCAUUUGAAAAAGGAUUCAAAUUUCUAUAUAUUUACAAAACCGACUAAAGAAUGGAAUUGCAAAAGUAAAAUAAGCCCUGAGGUUACAGCAUUGUCUGUACAUCUCUGUAGAAAGUGCAAGCUGUGUAUGAGUUUCUGAGAAAUCAUAAAAAGGUCUUCUUUCAGGUUAGAAAACAAAACUUUUCAGACACUAAAAUUAAUUAGUCAGAAUUUUCUUCAGAGGAGAAGUAUCGCAGGAAAAAAAAUAUAAAGGGCAGGUAGCAACAGGGCGAGGGGAUGCCUCUUUAAACUGGAAGAGGGUAGGUAAUUAUUUACUGUAAGUAAUUCUUUACUGUAAGGGUGCUGAGACACUGGAACAGGUUGCCCAGUGAGGUUGUGAAUGCUCCCUCCCUGAAAGCAUUCAAAGCCAGGCUGGAGCAACCCUGGUCUAGAGGGAGAUGUCCCUGCCUAUUGCAGGGGGGGUUGUCCAUUUCCAAUCCAAACCAUUCUAUAGUUCUCUGAAUAUUAAAUCUACUAAAUGAUAAAGUUAUUAUCAACACAGCACAUUUAACAACCAGUUAUAUGUUGUCACUGCUUUCUUUAAGCAGAAUAGCUAACCAUCUCUUUCAUUACUACCCAACAGUUCUGGCCACUCUGAAAUUAUAGUUGUGUUAAUCCAAACAUAGAGGGAAUCAAAUAACAAAAGGCUCUCUCAACCUGCUUUUACCCAAUCAGAGUCAUGUUUCUAGUGUUGUUUUGCUCAUAUAUUAGAGUUAUCUGGUUGUUUAUUUUCUCUUCCUACUCUGUAUUGCUGGCAUUUGUGUUAGAUUUCCUCUGUCCACUUCCACAUAUUCAAUUAUUAAAAAAUAUUAAAAAUAUAUCUUCAAUAACAACUAGAAUUUACAUCCAAUCUAGAAUAAGUAUAUAUGUAUACAUACACAUCUUCAAAUCACCUGUUGUGACAUACCUGAGACUAUGAAUUAUGUUGCAUUAUGUGCAACAGUCAGCAUACUUUGUUCUACAUACAGUUGUACAUACAUUGGCCCUAAGCAUGGACAAUAUUGACAGGUACUAGAAACGAAGUCAAAACAGGUAGUAGAAAACAAACUGUUCCAGCACAGACCAUAUCACAUUGAAUGAUAUGACACAAAUGUUUGGACUGGAUGAUCCUGUGGGUCUUUUCCAGCCUUAGCAAUUCUAUGUAUUUUUUUUCCUCUAGCACUAUUUUUUUUUGUUCUAGCACUGUUUUGCCCACACAAUGCCUUACAUUCAGUCCCUCCAGCCUUCUUUACAUAUUAGCUAACAGAAAGUCAGGAGUUUUAUACAAUAUGCAAAGAUUUUGUAGAUUUCCUAUAAUAUGCAUCAUUAACGUGGUGCAUUUCCUUCACAUUCCUAUACAUGACUAAAAAGUGAAGUUGUUUGUUUUGAUGAGGAACUUAGAGACCUAGAGGAUAACCUAUACUUAAAAAAAUGCUAUGAGAAUUAAAUGUAAGCUUUACAGUGAAAACACUGAGAAACAAUUCAAAUACAUUUGAAGAAAUCUAGCUUUGUAGCAUUGAGCUUCUUGCUAUAGCAUGAAGUAUUUAGGAACUGUAAUCUAAAACACACAGAUGUGUAAGGACAGAUUAAUUUGUCUUACUGUUCUUAUAAUUCAAUACAUCCCCAGAUACAUUGCAUCCAACAUUGCAGAUACAUUGCUUCCCUUGCAUCCAACCCUGAAUUCUGAAACUUUUUUUUACUGUAUGUUUGUUUAAUGUGUAACACAACAGGCCCAGAGGCUAACAUCAGGAGUACCUAGCAACUCCAGAAGUAUAAUUAAUAUUUUAACUAGGAAAAAGAGAGCAAAUGAUGGAGCAAAAUAUAGCAAACAAAAUUAUGAGUAAUGAGUAUUUAUGACAUACUGUAGUGUCUGUCACAAAUGAAUACGUAGAACAGAUACCAAAUAUAACAAAAUGAAGGCCCUCUCACUGAAGUACUCACUUGUCUAAGCUGAGACAAUGCAUGUAUCUAAGAAAGAGUGAAAACAAGAUGGAAAUAAAACCCUUGGAUUAAAUUGGUAAUCAUAGCACAUCCCUUGCUUGUUUUUGCUCUGUAUUUCUACUAAACGGAGAGGAAUACAUCUAAGCAGGGAUUAAAUGAAACCCAACAGAACAUCCAGUGAGUGCUUAUGAGCUACAUAAUGUUUCAAAAACUUGAGGCUUCCUUACUGGAAAGUGUUGGGAAUAAUUCCAAAUCUGAGUUUAUCAACUACUAUCCUUGUUAUUCUACCUUUUAUUAAAAUAUCUCAGGUGACACUAAAAAUGUUUGUUCUCUCUGCCAAAUGUUUUCUGAAGCCAGAUAAUUUGGUUUGCUAUUUACAUUUGAAAGUGCUGUCAAUGAAUUAAAGUUUCAUCAAAACAUCCUGUUUCAUCAAGAUGGAGCUGUUUUAAAGACCAUAAGUUUCAACAAAGCUUUCAUCAGCAGUGCGUCUAAGGUGAAUGCAUUCAAGCUCAUUUCUGACCUGAAUGAAAUUGCCAUAGCAUCAUAUGUAAGGCACAAAUUACUGCAGAAGGGAGAAAAGACCUCUAGUGGGCAUAUACCAGGCAUCACUAAGAGCUGAAGGAUUCACAUCAUCCUCCUAGUUUGAAAAACAGAAUCACAAUGAAAAAACGCCCCUAAAGGAGACACCAGAAAAUGCAUUUAUUUAUUGUCUGACUGGAAAAGAAGCUGUAAGCAUGAUCUAGAAUAAUAAUAAAAACAAUUAUCUGUCACCUUUCCCACAAAUCCUGUCUGUAUGGAAAAAAGAAGCAACAAGAAUAUGAGGGUUCCACCCCAACAAUAAGAUGAUGACAAGACACUGCCAUAGUCUUGUCUCAUACUCCUAGAGAGUGCUAUCUCUAUGAGCAGUGAACUGUAGCUUCUGACCUGGAUUUUGUCUGACAGCUUCCAAUCAGGCCGCACAGUCUGAAUUUGUUUAGACCAUCCGGUUAAUCCAGUCAGUACAAAAACAGAAAUUUAAUUUCUCCUCCCAAAAAAGGGAGAGGAAAUAAAAAGGUAGCAGCUAUUCCUCAAACCACCAACAGAAAAAUGCCUAGUCUGGCCGAGCACAUACACUGGUUUAGUAAACAUCCAAAAUGCACUGGUGGAAUAAACCAAAUUCAGAUUCAUUGAACCAGAAAGCCUUUAGAAAGAAGAAUCAGGAGUGAAAGUCUGCCUGCUAUUUGCAUAACAAAGAAGAGAAGUCUUGGUAAGGGAGAUCUUGUCUUUUAAUUAUUAUUAUUAUUUUUUUUUGCUUACAAUAUAUACAACAGAAGGUAGAAAGCAAACAAGCUACUGCUUUCCAGGAUCCUUUUGCAGAAAGACCAAAAAAAGAAAGUAUGAACUGAAAUCUCUCAUCCUGAGCUUGCCCAUACAGUCAGAAGAGGAACCUGGGCAAGUUCAUCAAAACUGUGAUUGCUCUUGAUGCUAAGUAUGUAAAAACAACCAUUCCAGAAGCUGUAACUUUGUCACCAGAACAGUUUCUUGAAAUAGGUCCUACUUGGGUUUUAACAGCAAUAAAGGUGCAGCUAUCUAGAGAUGGAACAUCUGAAGGCUCUUCUGUUCUUGUACUUAGAAGUGAAGAUGUUAACAGAGAGAAUCAAUGACUGGCAGGCAAGCAGAUAACACUGUAAACAAGCUUCAUAAUACUUCAUCUACAUUUGUGGCUAUAAUCAAUAAAGGACCCAUAAUCCAGGGAUGCAAAAAGUGUUAUUGCCCUUCUCCUGUCAUCCUGUAUCCUUUAGAGAGCAACGUCCCCACUGAUCGGUGUGAUGUUACUGGUACAGAACUUGGACAGGUUGCCUUCAGCUGUGGAUGGCUUUCUCCCUGUCCUCCUUUGCAUUCUAUGUGAAUAUGGACAAUAGGGAGCGUGCUGAGAUGGGAAGGUCUUGCAGGGGGUACUGAAGGGUGAAUAAUGAAAAGCUGCUGCAGGAGGCACCUUCCAAUAAAGAGCUCCACAGAGCAGAAAUCCUAUUUAGUGAUGAGAAGAAACUUCAAAGCUAUCCCCCUUUCAGGAGUGUGAGACAUUUCACAGACUGUUAUUCUUAGAUCUAGAUAACACUUACUAUCAGUAGUGAAGAUAAAAAAGAGUUAAUACACACCUCAUGCUGUCUUCUUCUGAAGGUAUCAUUGUUUUUAAUUUUUAAUCCAUCUGCAGGAAUUCAUUGCUAUGCUUUUUUUUUUUUCCAGACUCAUCUGUGGCUGUAUAAAAGUUUGUCAAAGAAUGUGUGCAUAUUAAACAUCUGCCCAGCCUGCAGUGCCUGAGUCAGGCACACUAAUAAGCUUGUGGUAAUUACUUUAUGCUAAAACUAGACUUUUUUUUUUUUUUUUUAAAUAUAGCAAGAUGAAAAUACAGCUCUCAGGAAGACAGCUCACAUCUAACAGGAGCCUGGGAAAGAGGCCCACUUUUUUUUUUUUUUUAAACUGUUUGCAAUACAGGCAGGAGAGCCGUAGUGCUGCUCAGAGGGAGAAUGUGCAACAGCAAUUCUUUGACAUGUGGUACGUUCUUUACUCUACAUCUUAAAAAUAGAUCUAUUCUCAAAACUGGUGCAAUAAUAAUGUAAGCCAUAGAUUAUAUGGAGUUCUUUAUAUUCAGUUUCAGAGAGGUACAAAUGGGAAUCUCGCACAAAGAACAGAAAAAGAAAUACUUUCAAAUGAGCUUGACAGGAAUCUUAAAUUAUUCUGUGCUACAAUUUGAUAGGCUAACUUCUGGUUUCAUGAGAAUACUCUGAUAUUACGUAAAAUAAGUUUGAAUCCAAACUCAUGCCAAAUGCACCUACCACUGAAUUCUUCAAUAAGUCUGAAAACAAAGUGUUUAGGCCUGGACAAUCUUUCCUUCUCUCACUCUUAAAAAUAAAUAAGUUGAGGGGGGUUUUUCCCCACAAGAUGAAAGCAGCCAGGAGCUUGGUACAGCUGGUCAGUGUAAUCAAGUUUCCUGCCUAGUUGAUUGUUGAUCUUAAAUAAUUCCACUCAGCUCUGUGUUGAUAAGUAUACAGGAAAGAUCUUUCUCACUUCAGGAACGUCUAUCUUCUCAUGAGAGUCCUACUUAAGUAGGGAAAAUACUUGCAUUUGCUACAGUUUUAUACUUGAAACCAUCAUCUUCUUCAGCUCACUUUGCCUGUUGAACCAGAUUUUGCAAAGUUCCAAACAGUGGGCAACAUCUGUGUUAACAGAGGAGGUUUCUCCUCUCAUAAUCCUGCCUGCAUUGGCAUUUAUACCCUAUGGAUGGAAUUUGCAGAGCUGGGAAUAAUAAUAACCCUUAAAGCACUUAAAUCUGGUAAUCAAAGACAUGUGAAGGCCCAAUAGCUAGAAGCUGAAAGCUGCAAGGUUCAACGCAGAAACAGGAUGGGCUUUUAAAUGGAAAACGCAACUGACCAGAGCUCUGUGAACUACCAGCUGGAAUCUUCUAUGCAAGACAUACUGCCCUUUGAAAGAUAGGCUCUCAUUCAACUUCAGGGUUUGAGGCUUGAUAAAGAAAUGGCUGGGAGAAACUACAUGACCUGAGUAACACAGGAGGUCAGACGUGCUGUCCAGAACAGACUUCUCUGGAAAGGAAAUUUGUGAAAACAGUAAUAGAAAUAUCCAAUCCUGUGAGUGUUUUAAGCAUUUAUUUAGGACUUGGGUUCAACACCUCGAAUGUAAUGUGCUUUUCUGCCUCAAAUUCCUAAGGUCAUUUAUACCAGGCCAGCUUCUCAUGACUACUUGUAUUUAUAGUUUGUCUGCCUGGUUGUCACUGGUCACAUUUUUAGGUUUGCAUUACAUUCUAAAUCCCCUGAGUCAUGUUCAUGUUUACCACUCUUUUCUUUCUUUUAUGAGAUUUUUCCAUAAACCUGUAAUUAAUAACAUCCUUUCCUUUUCUCUGCUGAAGAGUCACAACCACAAGUAAUCUAUCACAUCUCCAAUUUGUCCCUUACAAUUCUCUCUUAUCCCUCACAAAAGAUGCAUUUCCAACAAGAAGUUCAGACUCCAUCUCUCCCAGUUUCCUAUUUGGAUAGCUGAAAAAAAACAUUGCCCUUCUUCCAAAUAGUUUCCAUUUUUUUGCUUCAGAUUCUGCUUUGAAAGUGAUUUCAAUAAAAAUCAGGUCUUUCUACUCCCUGCCAUCUCAGUCACUUUAUUGUUCCUUUUUUUUUUUUUUUUUUUUUUCCCUCUCCUUUCUUCUUUUAAGCUGAUUUGUGCUGGAGGGGAGAGAGCUGGGGGAAACAAGCUGUGUCUGAGUCCAUCAUCUCACUCCCUCACAGUUAGUUCACCUGUUUCAAGAUUCAAAGUCAUGACUCAAUUUGCUGUUCACUGGAGACAAAGAAAUGACGCAUGCACAGAGUGAAAGAAAACAGGAUCAAACAGUAUGUCCAGAAACAUUGCACAACAGUUUUUCUUGAAACAAGGUCUUGUAACUCCACAUUCAGUGCCGUAUUAUACUACAGGCUGAACACACUGAUAGUAAAGACAGCUAAUUUCUUCCCACAUGUUGAUCUGAAUCAUGAACAGUCUCAGUCCUGACUGAGAUUUGGGAAGUUGUGCUCCAGGUAACAAAUCCUCUUCCUAUAGCUUUUCACAGAUAGCAAUAAACCAGCAAUACCAGGCUAUUACAUACACAUUUGAUACCUAGAUUGCUCUAGGGCCCUGUACAAGGGACCAACAUGUGUGCCUCCGGCUUCCUGACACCAUGGCAGUGAUGUGGCUCUCACUCCAGAUGAUGAGUAUAUAAGUAAAGUCUGCAUUUGACUCAGUUGGUUUCUACUUCUUCACGUAAGUCAUUGUUUUAAGAGACAACAUAAUACCAAGGGAAAAAUAAUGUGAUGUGUGGGAGCUGGCAGUAGGGAUUUUUCCCAAAUGUUUGGGAGGAUCCUAUUUCUCACAGAUGGUGUUGCCAAGAAACAUCCUAUUUUUCUUUCAGAAAAUAAAGGAUUGUUGGCAAUAAUCUUGUGCCUAAAGUAUUUCCCCAGUGCUAACACCAAAAUUACUGUAAAAUAAGAAAGCUUUAUUCAAAGAUACUUUGCUUUUUAAGUAAGUGGAAGAACGCAGAGAGGCCUAACAGAGAAGAAAGGUGAAGGGAUUAAUUUAACACCAACAGAGGUAACUACAAACUACCUAGGAAAAGACCCUGCGAUUAGCCCCUUUCCAAGUAGAUGGUGUGUUGCAGUGGUGGGAAAUUCUAAAGCUAGAUGAACCCAGGUCCAAAAACUGACCCUUAAGAAAGGGGACAAUAAAUAUUGCAAGUUUCCUUUCACAGUUGCAUGUAGUCAUGCCAUGCCUACUCUCUUUUGCAGGUUGUCCUUCACAUUCUCUGAGUUUUUACUUAUUAGGCAGAAAAAGUGUUUCAUGGAGGUAAGUAAAGAUCAGCCAGGAUGCUGAGUCAAAUACCUUUACUUUUCAAUAUAUUAAGAAACAGGGAAUACAAGUAUCUGUGUACGGCUGGAAGAGAAAUCCUCUGCUGUAGCUACCGAACAGAGAUGUUGAUAGCAAAACUCAUGCAGGAUACUUUGCAGGUCCUAGCAUUAGGAACAUAAAGAGGAAGAAAUGUGUGGAAGAAGGGAGACACUCAGGGGAACCCAUUGCCACUGGAUUGAAAUGAUGAGCAGGUCUCUUUCAGACUGAGCGACUAUCAGCUAUCUCACCUAUAACACGAUGGAAAGUAUAGCAAUAGUAGCAGAGUAACACUAUCCUAGGCUGCAGCAAAUGAGAACAAGCCCAAAUACAGCAGGUGGGAACACAGAAACAGAAGAAGAAAAACUGCUUACCUUUAGAAGACCUCCAGUAGGCAGGGAUCUCCAGCACAAUACCUUUGCCUCUACUGCCCACCCUUAAAUGAGGUCUGGGAAGGGGUGGAUCCUGACUGCAACCCUUCCAAUCACUCAGGUGGAUUGCAUGCAGCUGAGCUCUCCUGGGUUGGCCCUGCCUUCCCACCAGGUGCUCAAUCACUGUUUCAGGCCAUGACUUAGCAUUUCCACUACACCUCCUAAUGAAGGAACCUUAGAAAUCAGAGCAGAAUGACCUGCCAGGCAGAAAUCCCACAUGCUCCCAAAAUUACGGAGGACAAAGGAUUUGGCAUAAAAACAGUUUCUUUCUCUCUCUUUGUAACUGAAUAACUCCAAGGUGGUAUAGAACCUGUUAGAGAAAUAUGUAAGCCUACAGAUCAUUCCUCAUAACUGUAUCUGAUGUAGUUAAUGGUAGCAGAGAGAGAUUUACAUUAGAAGCUGUGCAUCUUAAAACCUAAAAUCCAGUCAAAUCUAAAAAAUUAGCAUGUGUUUAGGAGUGAGAGGUUUGAGUUGGACUUUGUCUUCACAGGCAGACAAAAUGUACUAACUCUAAGUCCAAUUCCAUGUUUUUCUUGUUUUGGUUGUUAUGAUAGUCAUGGCUACUGCUACAAAAUUAGGCCAUUAAAAAAAGACAAGCAACCCAAUCCAAACGAUUCCAUUUGAGCUAAACUUGGGCUCAGCAAUAGACAGAGAGGUACCUAUUUAGGACAUGUGUUUUCUACUUAUUCCUGCCUUUGACUAGUUUUGGAUGGUACAGCCAGUUGACAGAUGAAAUUUCCUUCAUAGGGAAAGAAGCUGAUAUUUUUAAAACUAUUUUCAUCCAAAGACCAACACGUUUAGAAAAAAAAUCAGUUCCGAAAUGUCAAAAUAUUUUUUUUCAAUCAAAACCAAAUAUUCAACAUUUCCCAACCCGUUUUAAACAUGCUCCCACAUGAGCCGGUAUAUGCCCUUAAGCUGGAGUCAUGUUGCUUUUCUUGGGAGUGGCAAUUCAGGUGCAUUAUGUUUACUUUUUUCACAGAUUCAUAGAAUGGCUCGUGUUGGAAGGGACCUCAAGGAUCAUCAAGCUCCAGUCCCCCUGCCGCAUGCAGGGCCACCAACCUCCAUAUCUAAUACUAGACAUAUAGACUUAUACAUACAGACUACACUAAGUAAUCUAUUAGAGCUUGAGAUAAUGGAAAGUCAUUUGGAAACUGGGAUCAAAUGAGAAAGUUGCACUUGGGCAAUGCAUAAUGUGUACAUGCUAAAGAUUGGUCAAGAUGAAUACUCUCAUCCAGAAGUCCUGUAGAUACAUCUUCACAAUGGGAAGUAUUCCACUGAAGCUACCUGUCCAUAUUAACAUGGCACAGAAUCCACAAAUGCUUCACUCCACUUCUCAGGCAAGCAGUGGAAGAAUUCUUGUAUCUUUCAUCUGUUGCUGCAAAGUGGUGCACAAGUCAAAAUCACAAUUGAAAAGUUAACAGUUGAUCAACCUUACUAUAAGCCUACUGAUACAAGAUCUGCAGAAAGGAAGGACUGGAUUAUUUGGGUGAAGAAAGCAAAAACAUUCAGAUCCUACAUCCAGAAGAAUUGCUGUUAAUGUUUACAGGUUUCAUGUAUGUUCUUUUGCCUGAGCUGUGCUUUGGGGUGCAUUGGCUCUUUUCUCUGGAGUAAAACAUGAAAAAUCUUCCUUUCUUUGGUGAUCUCCAGAGCUUUUUAAAGGUACGGUAGAACAAUAGUACUCUCACAGUAGUUUUAAUGGGACAGAAGUGUUGCUGUGUUGUCUUACAGAUUUUAUCAAAUUGUGCUUAGAAUUCAUUCAUUUUGAUCACUCAUAUUAUAGACAAAAUUCUUCUUGUAGGAUGUUUAUAUGUCCCAGAGCAUUCAUAAUGCACUGUGUUCAGCCAUCUACAAGCAUUUAAUUACAGACCGUCUGUUUCAUGUAAAAAAUAUUUGCCAAGACUCUUUUGGCAGAGUAAGGAGUGAACUUCGUAAAGGAAAACCAAGUUGCUCAUCGGUGGUGGCAGCAAAAAUGGGGAAAAGAACUACCCAAGAGUUUCUUGAAGAUUCCAGUUGAUGGAUCCUGGCCUGAUUGGGUCUCUUAUAUAAACCUUGAUGGAAUGGUGCUAAAUUUUGCAUGGAAACCUUUAUUUUUUUCCCCACUUCAACAACUGUAGCUGAAUGUACAUUUAAAAAUGGUAUUUGAAAAUUAAACUCAUAAGACAUCAUUAUACAAGACAUAAGCACAAACUUAGUACAGAAAGGGAGAAAGCAUCCAGUCUUUGAAAAUAAUGUUUGUGCCUUGUGCUUUUUUAAAACAUAAACAUAGAUUAUCAGCACGCUACUAAAGUGAGGCUGCAUCUCACCUUCCACAGUCUCACAGCAUAAAAAUAGCAUAUUUGAACUUACCAGAAGAUUGAUGUUUCUUUGCUUUCGUAUUACUUUUUCCUUUGUAUUUUAUGAAAAUGUAUGCCUUGCUGUCCAAUGUUGAAAAUAUCCACUGAGGUGAUUUUAAAGUUAAACCUGAAGAUUCAAGUUGGAAGUUACUGAAGGAUGAGUUUGGGUUUUUUCAAAGUGCUAUUAUUUUGACUCCUUGAGGGCUCCACAUGAAUACUUUACCUCUCCUUUUCUUUCUUUGGUUUGAGAUUCAUAACUGCAGCUGCUGUGCAAAGUAAAGUUUCCAUUGAGGACUAGCUGACCAAAUUUGUCAUGCUGAAAGUGAAAGUUGUAUCAGAAAGAGUGGGGUUUCCUUCAGUGCAGCAAGUCUGAGUACUGGAGCAGGUUCUAUUUCAGUCAUCCCUCCACUUCAGCAUAUAUCAACAGAUGGAAUCAGUGCAUCUUUUCUGUUGUACUUCAGCCUCCUACUCACUGACCACAGCAGGGACUAUGUCACGUCAUUGAGCACCAAGAGACACUGGAGAGAGGGAGUCCAACUGCCCACAGAGGCCCUGAGGUGCCUGGAGGAGGGAAACACCCCAGGGUAUCUCAUCUUCCUCCUCCACCCUCCUCCCAAAGCCAAAUGCCCAGAAUGUGCUGAGCUGAACUGAAACCCUGCCCUGUGGCCUUGGGGAGCAGUCAGCUAUGUGGCUGUAGACACCAUAUGCUGAGGGAGCACCACCUUCCUGCUUUCACUGGCAGAAGUGAGUUUCCCUUAAAAACCAGCAAAUUAUGCAGUUUCACACCUGACUCUUCAGUUGAGCAGGUGGAAAUGUCCUUUUCUGGGCCUCAACAGUAAAGGAGCCAAAGGCCAGGGGUCAGCUAUUAAGUUCAGCUGUUCCCUAUUGCAGGUUCAACUCAUGCUCCCUGGCCUGGCUGUGCUCUGAGGCACCUUGAGGCACUUGUGCCUUUGCGGUAUGAGCUCAUUUGUUGUCAUUUCCACUUUGGGGUGGGAAAAAAGGUCAUAAGAAGAGAUCAGUAAAUGUGCAGCAUUCAUAAAGCAAGGCCUCUUCAAAACAGACACGUUGCAGUGUUAUCAUAUCCAGGAAAACAGCAACAGACAGCGUAACUUUAAAAUACCACCCAGAAACUCUUGCUUGGAAAGGACAACUCACAGCAUCAAAGCCUGGACGUACUUGCCAAACCAUGCUUUAACUUACUGCCAAGACACCAGAUUUAUCCCCUUAGUAGCAAUGAUGCGCUAGGCAAGAUGGUGAUUGCUACAGCAAAGUGGGGAUGGGUUUGUUUCACAGUGGUCACGAUGACAGAAGGAGCCCUGCAGAUAUUAAUACUUGAUGAGAAAGGUACAUGAAAUUAGCCUGUGAACUGUUUGUGGAUAAAUAACUCUCAAGCAUACAAUAAGAAUUCAAGCAAAUUAAUUUAACAGCUAGAAGUCAAAUGUAAUGAAAAAAUAUUUAUGAAAAUUUUGUAUGUUUAGGUGAAUAGUUUCAAACCAAAAAUAAAUGAGAAAUAAAUACAGCCUAGUAGAAAUUGGACUGUGUUUAGAUUCUGAUAAUCUGAAAGGGCAUUUUUUAGCAUAAGGAUAAGUUCAGGUGAUUAUUUAAAGAAUAAGAUCAGAAUGGCUGUUCUUGACUUUAAUUUGGAGCCAAAAUAUUCUAUGUAAAGAACUUGUAAAAUCCAUGUCCCCUUUAGUUCUACAGUCAGUAAUUACUCACAGGAUAGAGUAUUCAGAUUUAUGAGGAAGAAGGAGAGAGUGGCAGUAAGUUGUUACUUCUAUUUCCAGCCAAUGUUUGCAAAUUCAAUGGCAAUAACAAACCAAAAACCUGACUUUCUCCCUUCAAACCGCUCUAUAUCUGUGGUCAAAAAUGUAUAGCUAUGUUUUACAUCUUUUUUAGCACAUAAACAUUUAAGGAUACUUACCUCAACCACACGACAAUUUUCUGAGCCUUGCAAGUCUUACAAAUCCCUAAUCACAGUUGGAUGUAUUCAGUAAUGUAGAAUUAAGGAGUAACAGCUGAAAUGCACCUGGGUUAGGUGGCUACUGAGGUUAUAUGGUGUCGAAAUAAUAAGGUGUGGGUCUGGUUAGAGAGGGACCAGGCAUCUGUUCCCACCUCAGCUACAACUUCCCAUACUAGUACUCAUAUUGAGUACUGAGUAUUAUAGUACUGAGGAUUAUAGCACUAGUGAUUGUGCUAUAACAGUGAUUGUGAUUACUGAGGUAAUCUAAACAGAGAACUUUGCUUCUCUGGAAGUGGAGAAUAACUACUGUAUUUUAGUGACAUGCUGAUGGAACCUCAGUUUGGAUGUCCAAAGAUGUAGUUCCUGGCUGAUGCAUAUACAAGUAAAUUGUUACUGACUUAAUUUUGUCUUAAUGGGAUUCUUUUGUUGACAAGGUAAAUUUGUGACUUCUGAGCCGAGAAUUGUCUUUAGCUGGUGACAGCUUUCAUUUAGAGCAAGCAUUAUACUUAUUACCAUGACAGAGGCCCUUAAACAGGAAGAUGGAUAAAUUCUACUAGCAAGGAAUGGUAGCUGGCCUCUUGAUAACAUAUGGCAUAGCAUUGAACAACUUCCUGGAAACCUUAGCAGUGCAGAGGUUUGAAAGAACUGGACUGGCCUGCAGUUCAUAAACAUCAUAGGCUGAAUAAGCUGCUUCUAACUGCAUCAGAAACUUUUGCUCAUAUAUUUAGACUUUGCUUCUAGAACUAAAAGUGCUAAAAAGUGGCAAGACUAAAAAGGCAGCACAGCAAUAAAAAUUCCAUUUUGACUCUGGGGAGAGCCUCAGAGAUGUUGUGGUCAGAAUUUUCUCCAUUAUUUGCAAGUUCUCAAAGAAGAAUUUUCUUCAUUCUGGAUUAGCCUUUUGCAAAAUCUAUUAAGACUUUUAAUUUCAUUUAAAAAUAUUCUUAUGUUUUGAAACUUAGUCUGCAGGAAGUUUAACCAGACCUUAAUUAAGGACUCUGAGUGUGACAGAAGCUUGUGUAUCAACAAGGUGCUUUGCUUGUCUGCCCAAUAAAAAUACAAGGAGUAAUGCCAGUUUGGGGAGUAAGCAGAGCAGAAGCGAAGCAGGGAGGGGGGCACAAAUUAUGAGCUGCUUUGGUCUCCAUUGUCAGGAAGUACUUCACCACUUCCAUUGCCUCACUACAUCUCUUCUAUUAGAAAGCCUUUAUAAAUUACAGGAAUAAGUGGCCCUUAGCAAAUAACUUCAAAACAGAGCAACUAAAUAGGACUGAAGGAGAAUGGGAAACUCCAUUCUGCUACUGCUAAAGCAGAUAGUUCUGAGCUGCUGGCAUUUUUUCCCCCUCUCAGCUCAGGAUGAAAGACAAAAAUGUUAAUUUCCACAAAUUGAAAAUCUGAAAAAUGUGAGCUGAGGUCAGCUGGAACAUUUCGUUUCUAUAAUUUUGUAAUAUCUUUUGACAAUGCUGAUCUGUCUUUAAUCAUUUUAUGCCUAAAUUUGCUAAGAUUUCAAAAUUUUAAGAAGUUCCAGCUUGAAGGAAACAAAAGCUUUCUAACUCAAAAUGUUGAAGAAAGACUAUAUUUUAAUGUUUUCAAAAAAUAAAUAAAUCAAGGAGCAAUAGGAAAUUGAGCCUUUUCUUAGCCAUUAGUCUGAGUCAUAACAGAGAUCGGUAACAAAUGCUGUGUAUUUCAGUAGGAGAGCACUCCAGUGACUAACUUUUUUUCCUAUCCGGUUGACUGCAGUGACAUUUGGGUCAGGCCUACUAAGAUGGUUCUCCUAACUGUGCCAGUGCCAGAAAAAUGCUUGCAUGCUGAUAAGUCAAUGGAACAUCAAAGAGAAAUAUUCAUUUUUGUAGUCAAGAACAAGAUAUUUGAUGGUGGAACUAAUCCCUUGGCAAUAAAAAAUUUCCUUUACAGUCAAUUCUAUGAUUAAGCCAAAGCCACUGCUUUGUUCCUCCACCUGUCCCCGUGAGUCAGCAACGCUUUCCUCUUGCUUUUCCUCCAAGUCAGAUGACAGUGCCUCUCCUGGGCUGCAGACGCACAAGUGUUUUGCCUACAGUUAUGACUUGUUUAGCUUUUGCAGUGUUGGCAGCCUCUCUGAGCUCUGGCACACUUUCUACCAAAUGGGAGAGUCUGGAGGGGGCAGUUUAUUUCUCAUACUGAUCGUGGUUUUGUUACUCUAAAAAUCAGGAGUUUGAAAAUCUCAUCACAACCAUUCGUAAUUUGCUUAGAACUGUAACAAAAAUGCUAAGUUUCAUCCUUAAAAGAGAAGUACUGAAAUGUUUAAGAUUUAAUCCCAUGGGAUUUUAAAAUAUAUAUAAUAGUAAUAGUAUAAUAGACAUCUUUGGGCCAAAUUAGCUCAUUGCAUUUGUCCCUUACCUGCAACUCUGAUGGGCACAAAGACAUGUCCACU
ensembl:lncRNA